AUGGAUUGGACUUGGAGAAUCCUCUUAUUGGUUGCAACAGCUACAGGUGGCAUUUCCCAGGUCCAGCUGGUGCAGUCUGAACUGAAGAAACUUGGGUCAUCAGUGAAGGUCUCCUACAAGGUUCCUGGAUACACCUUCACUAGCAAUGGUAUACAAUGGGUGCGGCAGAUGCCUGGACAUGGGUUUGAGUGGAUAGGGUAUAUUAAUCCAAGCAGUGGUGGAACAAGCUACGCACAGAAUUUCCAGAGCAGAGUCACCAUGACCAUAGAAAUAUCCACAAGCACAGCCUACAUGGAUCUAAGCAUUCUGAGCUCUGAGGACACUGCCAUGUAUUACUGUGUGAGAGACACAGUUUGA